AGUUCAGAUCGUAGGCUGCAACUCGCCUACGUGAAGGAGGAAUCGCUAGUAAUCGCAGGUCAGCAUACUGCGGUGAAUACGUUCCCGGGCCUUGUACACACCGCCCGUCACACCAUGGAAGUUGGCCACGCCCGAAGUCGUUACUCCAACCCUCUGGGAGGAGGACGCCGAAGGUGGGGCUGAUGACUGGGGUGAAGUCGUAACAAGGUAGCCGUACCGGAAGGUGCGGCUGGAUCACCUCCUAA
rnacentral:rRNA from 1 species